GAUAAUUGUGUUUUCAACAGACCAAAAGCAAAGGUCGCUGGUUUGCCGCAUGGUUAUGAUGAAACCUACAGCAUCAUCCUGUAUGAAUGCAACACUGAAAAAUGUUCAUCCAAGAGACAAAAAACAAAUGUCACUGGUUUGCCAGAUGGCUAUGAUGAAACCUACAGUAUCGUCACCUAUGAGUGUGACACUGUGACGACAGCAGCCCCUCAGAGACGUCUGAUACAUCAGUCCUGACAUACACACUGUACAGCACUCCAAAGUCAAUAUGAAAUACAGACAUUGUGUUUCUUGC